GCCUGGGUGGCUCAGUCGGUUGGGCGUCUGACUUCGGCUCAGGUCAGGAUCUCGUGGUUUGUGAGUUCGAGCCCCACGUCGGGCU
rnacentral:tRNA from 1 species